CGAGGGCUGAGGUGGGAGGUCGGGGGCGUCCCCGCGGGUUAAGCGUGCGAGAGAGCGAGGUGCACCAGCGGGCAUGGAUGGCCUGUGCAGAGUCCAGUCUUGUGAGGGCGGCGAACUAGGCAGCGAAUCGCGGGAGUUUCCUAUUGGCAGCAGUCCGAGUCCCAGACGUUAAUUUGUAACAAAAGUAGCGAUGGCCAAGCCCAUAAAGGGGGCAUCUCGGAAAGCCGUUCGCAUGCACGGAAGAGAUGAAAGCCCCGUGCGCGCUAGAAAACGGUUUCGCAACUCACUUCGGGAAGCAAAUGCGCUGCCCCCCAAAACAUAAAGUUGGCGAACUGUGCCUGACCCCGCUGGGGUUUUGGAAUGCCUCGUCCUCACAGGAAAAAAAUCCAGGGAAAUCAUCUUUUCCUUAAAAAGCAAAAGUGUCCAAAUUAUUUCUGUGACUGAAGUAGUUUGUCUGCGGUUGGCCAGUGACAUGGCAAGGCCUUGUUUGUGCAUUUAAGGUAAAUCAGAUUCUCUUCUAGGAGUCUGGAAGAGAACUUCCCCAAAGGGCACCCUCUUUCCCUUCUGACACAGAGGAAAUACCACAUAUAAAGAGCUACAAAUGUUUGAAGGAGAAAAAAAAUAAAGAAAAAUUCCAGCAUGUUAAAAUUUGAUAUUUUAUGUAGGCCCUUUUCAGCAAUGGUAGUUAAUUCCAAAAAGAACCACACGAGAGGUUUCACAUGUGGGGUCAUCCAUCCUUCCAGGGAUGCAGAAGGUUCCUACACAUACUAGGUGUCUGAUGAAUGUGAGCUCCCUUCCCCCUGCUUACCUCCUCCAUAGGAAUGCAUGCCUAUCCAGAAAAACACAAAACACACGCAUGUCAGGCCUCUGAGCCCAAGCCUGCACAUAUACAUCCAGAUGGCCUGAAGCAACUGAAGAAUCACAAAAGAAGUGAAAAUGCUGAAGCAACUGAAGAAUCACAAAAGAAGUGAAAAUGGCCGGUUCCUGCCUUAACUGAUAAGACAGUCACCUGUCCUCCUGCUCUUUGCUCUGUGAGAAAGAUCCACCUACAACCUCGGGUCCUCAGACCAACCAGCUCCAGGAACAUCUCACCAAUUUUAAAUUGGGACCCCACUGGAAAUUGGACUGUCCAACUCACCUGGCAGCCAUUCCUAGAGUUCCUGGAACUCUGGCGCAAGGCUCACUGACUGACUCCUUCCCAGAUCUUCUCGGCUUAGUGGCUGAAGACUGACACUGCCCGAUCGCCUUGGAAGCCUCCUGGACCAUGAUAGAUGCUUUAGAUUCCCAGCCUUAUGAAGACACCCUAUCUGGACGAUCAGUUCUUGUUAAGAAUCUGACCCCUCAAACUCUACAACCUCGACGGACCGGACCCUACUUAGUCAUCUAUAAUACCCUAACUGCCGUCCUCCUGCAGGACCCUCCCCAUUGGGUUCACCGUUCCAGAAUAAAGCCGUGUCCAUUGGACAGCCAGCCUGAUCUCUCCUCUUCCUUCUGGAAGUCGCGAGUACUCACCCCUACUUCCCUUAAACUCACCCACAUUUCUGAAGAACAGUAGUAACCCUUAUGAGCCUAAUACAUCCCUUCAUUUUGUUAGGUCUAUCCUUCCUUACCAGAGUCUUUGCAACAGGGCCUUAUGCAGUCACCCCCACUACUUAGACUGCAUCCCAAAAACUUUUCAUCCCUGCUCUCUUCUGUCUAGUCAUACUCCUAUUCUUCGUUUUCACCUCUCCAUACAUGCCCUGCCCUUGUCUACACUGCCAGCUUAUACUUUUCCUCCAAACCAUCAUAGCUGGUCCUGGUCUUAUCCCCUAACUGCCACUCUUAACUCCCUCUUGGAAUGGAUAAAUGGCCUUUGCUGGAAAAGCACACUCCACUUCUUUCACCCAUUUUACAUUUCCAGUUUCGCCUUACGCAAGGUCUCUUCUUCCUCUGUGGCUCCUCCACCUGCAUGUGUCCACCUGUUAAUGAGACAGGAACAUGUACACUAGUUUUCCUUACCCCAAAAAUCAAUUUGCAAAUAAGACCGAGCAGCUUCCUGUUCCCCUCAUGACACCAACACUUCACUAUUAUUUUAUUUUUUCUUAUUAUUAAUAUAAGAAGACAGGAAUAGGCCUUGACUUACUCACUGCUGAAAAAGGAAGACUCUGUAUAUUUUUAAAUGAAGACUGUUGUUUUUACCUAAAUCAGUCUGGCCUGGUAUAUGACAACAUAAAAAAAUUCAAGGAUAGAGGCCAAAAACUCACCAGCCAAGCAAAUAAUCAUGCUGAACCCCCUUAGGCACUCUCUAAUUUGAAGUCCUGGGUCCUCCCAAUUCUUAGUCCUUUAAUACUUGUUUUUCUCCUUUUCUUAUUCGGACCUUAUGUCUUCUGUUUAGUUUCUCAGUUCAUACAAAACCAUAUCCAGGCCAUCACCAAUCAUCCUAUAUGACAAAUGCUCCUUCUAACAACCCCAGAAUAUCACCCCUUACCACAAAAUCUUCCUUCCUCUUAAUCUCUCCCACUCUAGGUUCCCAUGCCACCCCUAAUCCUGCUCGAAGCAGCCCUGAGAAACAUCACCCAUUAUCUCUCCAUACCACCCCCCAAAAUUUUCCCCACCCCAACACUUCACCACUGUUUGUUUUUCUUAUUAAUAUAAGAAGACAAGAAUGUCAGGACUCUGAGCCCAAGCCUGCACAUAUACAUCCAGAUGGCACGAAGCUACUGAAGAAUCACAAAAGAAGUGAAAAUGGUCGGUUCCUGCCUUAACUGAUGACAUUACCUUGUGAAAUUCCUUCUGGCUCAGAAGCUCCCCCACUGAGCACCUUGUGACCCCCGCCCCUGCCCUCAAGAGAACAACCCCCUUUGACUGUAAUUUUCCACUACCUACCCAAAUCCUAUAAAACUGCCCCAGCCCUAACUUCCUUUGCUGACUCUCUUUUUGGACUUAGCCCACCUGCAAUUAAAAAGCUUUAUUGCUCACACAAAGCCUGUUGGUGGUCCCUUCACACGGACACACGUGACAAUGCACACAC
rnacentral:lncRNA from 10 species